rnacentral:rRNA from 1 species
UACAGAGGUCCCAAGCGUUGUUCGGAAUCAUUGGGCGUAAAGCGCACGUAGGCGGCUUUGCAAGUCGGGUGUGAAAGCCUGGGGCUCAACCCCAGAAGUGCAUUCGAAACUGCAGAGCUUGAGUCUUGGAGAGGGCAGUGGAAUUCCGAGUGUAGAGGUGAAAUUCGUAGAUAUUCGGAGGAACACCAGUGGCGAAGGCGACUGCCUGGACAAAGACUGACGCUGAGGUGCGAAAGCGUGGGGAGCAAACAGG